GUCAAAUGUUUGGAGAGUUCAAAAGGACGAGCUUGGUGAUUCUGCUUCUACUUGUUAACAACUGAUUGCUUAAUUCUGAAGACUUGCAGCUGGCAAUGAGGGUAGGGACUGCUGAAAUUACUUCUGAGCUUUCAUUUCCUAUAAUGCAAGAUGCUCUGGCUUAGUUACCAUCCAGGUGGAACAAUUACCUUGUUGACUUUGGUGACUUGAAGGGACUGCAGCUUUUACCCACGAUCUUGGUUUGGAUACGACACCCAUACAGAAAAUAGAAAAUAUCAGCUCUUUUUAUUUUGGCCGAGAAAAAUAGAUAACCCUGUUAUAUUGAUUUAUAUGAUAUCAAAAAUAUAAUCCAAUAUUUUCCAAUCAAAUUGUAAUUCAUUGAUUUGAUA